ensembl:lncRNA
GUGUCAAUUAUGAACCAAAGUCAGUUCAGCUAUAAAGCAGCUGUAGAAGGCUAUGGUGUCGUUUUUCAGAACAACUGAGUGCAGGUUUUAACUCAUCCAAUAGAGCCAGUGUGGUUCAAUCACUAAUUCAGUAUCACUGUGAAUAUGAAGUGUCUUUAAAUCCUAAUAUAAUGAUAAUAUUUCAGCAAUCGUGUUAUGUGUUUUCUGUCAGCUGUUUACAAUCACUCUUUCGAUCUAAUGGGUCAAACGGGUUCGCUAAAGUUCUGUAAUGUUCAUGAUUCAGUGUGAUUAAUGUGGACAGUUCGCUCACACACUGAAUCUUUUGCACUGGAUGCUUUAUAAGAUGGAAAACAAAAAAUAGAGCUUAAUGAAGUGAUUUUUAUCUUCAUUUCAUCAUACAAAACUUGCAAAUGACUCUUUGUUAUUGUCCCAUUGCAGUAUUGAAAAACUGUUUUCCUGAUUAACAUUGUAAAUCUGCUUUGACACAACCAGUACUGUAUAAAACUCUAUAGAAAUAAAGGUGAUUUGACUUGACUUCUCUUAAAACAGCUCUUUAAUGCUUAUGAACCAUUUGGUCUAUAAUAGCAUUGGGACUCGUUACCGCUGGAAGGCUAGGAAUGCUCCUGGUGAGAAUAGUAUGGUAUUUUGCUGUUCCUAUCAUAACCAGUCAUGUUUUGAUCAGAACUGUUUUAAACAGUUUUUUUAAACCAGCUCUACACCUCACCUGAUCCUGACUUUUAUCUCAUGGGCGAUUCUUAAUCCACUUCUCCCAUCAUGGGCUCCAGCAGAUUAGGAAAGCUCUGAUGACUGGCUUUAUUUACAUCAGGCCUCAUCAGUAAUAACAGAGAUGCAGUGUUCGAGAAGACGGCCUCAGGAUCACAGUCGCCCGCAGUCAAUCCCCGCUCAGCUCUCAUCAGUUGUGUGGCAACAUCUACAAAGGCUUGGCGCAGACCGGAGCCUGGGGCUGCUUCAACGAGUUCAACAGGAUCUCGGUGGAGGUGCUUUCAUUGAAGGCAGUGCAGGUGAGUGACGAACCGGGGUCAUGCCAUCGACUUAGAAACCUGGAAACUAGG